rnacentral:rRNA from 1 species
UACGGAGGGGGUUAGCGUUGUUCGGAAUGACUGGGCGUAAAGCGCGCGUAGGCGGGCUGGAAAGUUGGGGGUGAAAUCCCGGGGCUCAACCCCGGAAUGGCCUUCAAAACUCCCAGCCUAGAGUUCGAGAGAGGUGAGUGGAAUUCCGAGUGUAGAGGUGAAAUUCGUAGAUAUUCGGAAGAACACCAGUGGCGAAGGCGACACACUGGCCCGUUACUGACGCUGAGGCGCGAAAGCGUGGGGAGCAAACAGG